AUUGAACGCUGGCGGCAUGCCUUACACAUGCAAGUCGAACGGCAGCACGGGUGCUUGCACCUGGUGGCGAGUGGCGAACGGGUGAGUAAUACAUCGGAACGUACCUUAUCGUGGGGGAUAACGCAGCGAAGGCUGUGCUAAUACCGCAUACGCCCUGAGGGGGAAAGCGGGGGAUCGCAAGACCUCGCGCGAUUAGAGCGGCCGAUGCCUGAUUAGCUUGUUGGUGGGGUAAAAGCCCACCAAGGCGACGAUCAGUAGCUGGUCUGAGAGGACGAUCAGCCACACUGGGACUGAGACACGGCCCAGACUCCUACGGGAGGCAGCAGUGGGUAAUUUUGGACAAUGGGGGCAACCCUGAUCCAGCAAUGCCGCGUGAGUGAAGAAGGCCUUCGGGUUGUAAAGCUCUUUUGUCAGGGAAGAGACACCGGCUCUAACACAGUCCGGGAAUGACGGUACCUGAAGAAUAAGCACCGGCUAACUACGUGCCAGCCGCCGCAGUAA
rnacentral:rRNA from 1 species